rnacentral:rRNA from 1 species
GAUGAACGCUGGCGGCGUGCCUAACACAUGCAAGUCGAACGGAGAUUCCGGACGGAAGUUUUCGGAUGGAAGCCUGUAAUUCUUAGUGGCGGACGGGUGAGUAACGCGUGGGCAACCUGCCCUAUACAGGGGGAUAGCAGCUGGAAACGGCUGGUAAGACCGCAUAAGUCGGUUAAAUCGCAUGAUUUGAUCGGGAAAUGAGCAAUCAGGUAUAGGAUGGGCCCGCGUCCGAUUAGCCAGUUGGCAGGGUAAAAGCCUACCAAAGCGACGAUCGGUAGCCGGACUGAGAGGUCGGACGGCCACAUUGGGACUGAGACACGGCCCAAACUCCUACGGGAGGCAGCAGUGGGGGAUAUUGCACAAUGGAGGAAACUCUGAUGCAGCGGCGCCGCGUGAGUGAAGAAGUAUUUCGGUAUGUAAAGCUCUAUCAGCAGGGAAGAUGAUGACGGUACCUGACUAAGAAGCCCCGGCUAACUACGUG